UCGGUUUUCGGUUCCCUAUUUGGGAUGAAAAGGGAAUCGGGUGAAAAUCCCGGACUGUUCCCGCAGCUGUAAGCUCUAAACGAUUUUGCAACAAACCACUGUAAAGUUUACGGGAAGGUGCAAAAUUUACGAGUAAGUCAGAAGACCUGCCGAAAAUCA
rnacentral:ncRNA from 1 species